AGAUGUGCUCGUAGAGUAACGAGCAGGGUAAACAAAAGAAAUGCUCACCGAGA
rnacentral:sRNA from 12 species